GGGAAGAUAAGUUUUGAGGUUGCAUGAAUCUGUUCAUCUUUGUGGACUUGCACUCUCCCCAACAGAGCUGGUUUUCCUUUUAUGAAGUUCAGAGUAAUGUUGACCCUAACAUUCAGUGUCCUGAAGAAAAAAUUACAUGGAAUGAAUAUGUACCUUCAUUGAACAUCUCACUCCUAGUUCUGAUCUUCUAUGAGUAACCCAACACCCUGGAACCCUACCAAAAUGUAAAUAAAUUGUCAUAGGGGUGAUUGUUGGAUCGUGCUGGAGCGUAAGAUAAAGAACAUGCUACAUCAAAGAAGAUAGUUGUUUGGAGGUUUUUUUUUUCACUGUGCCAUUCCGGAACCUGACAUUUACAAUGAGAAAAACAUAAGUUUUAGGUGGCAUGGUUUUCUAUGAUAUGCAAAAGUCAAAAAUCAGUCUGAGAAGAAUGCCAUAUUAAGAAUAUGGAUCAGAUAUACUGCAAAUCCUGCUGUGCCCAAAAAUACUAUUACUCGCCUCAGUACAAGAAGUGUUUUAUAGAACAGAAACAGCAAGCAAGGAUAAAUGGCUAAGAUAUCAAGACUUGCUAGUAGAGGAAAAUUGAGAACUUAAGAUGAAAUCAAGAGAACAAUUGACUGCAGAGGGAUUUACUUUUCAAUGGGUUUUUUAAAUACACAAUUAAAAGAGAGGUUUAAUGUGUCUAAAAAGAUAUCAGAGAGAUAACGGUAUGUAAUGGAAUUUGAAAUGGAAUUAUGUACAAAUGAUGAACAUGUAAUUGCUAAAAUGUAUAAACUUGUGUUAAGAUUUGAGAUGGAAGAAGAAACUAUGACAAAAUGGGCUAAGCAUUUUGGUAAUAAUAUACAGAUGAACGGUGGAAAAGAAUGUGCCUAACAGCCUGAAAUUCAACUGUCUUAUAACUUAAGAAAGAAUUUAUAUAAAAUGAUGUGCUGUUGGUAUAUGUCAGCAGAAAAAUUAGCAAGGAUAUAAAAACAUAUUUCUAAUUGCUGCUGGAAAUGUGAAAAAUAUGAAGGGACAUUUUUCCUUGCAUGGUGGAUGUGUGAAAAAGCAAAAAAUAAAAUAAAAUUGGACACAAAUGCA